rnacentral:rRNA from 1 species
ACCCUGAUCCAGCCAUGCCGCGUGUGUGAAGAAGGCCUUUUGGUUGUAAAGCACUUUAAGCAGGGAGGAGAGGCUAAUGGUUAAUACCCAUUAGAUUAGACGUUACCUGCAGAAUAAGCACCGGCUAACUCUGUGCCAGCAGCCGCGGUAAUACAGAGGGUGCGAGCGUUAAUCGGAAUUACUGGGCGUAAAGCGAGUGUAGGUGGCUCAUUAAGUCACAUGUGAAAUCCCCGGGCUUAACCUGGGAACUGCAUGUGAUACUGGUGGUGCUAGAAUAUGUGAGAGGGAAGUAGAAUUCCAGGUGUAGCGGUGAAAUGCGUAGAGAUCUGGAGGAAUACCGAUGGCGAAGGCAGCUUCCUGGCAUAAUAUUGACACUGAGAUUCGAAAGCGUGGGUAGCAAACAGGAUUAGAUACCCUGGUAGUCCACGCCGUAAACGAUGUCUACUAGCCGUUGGGGUCCUUGAGACUUUAGUGGCGCAGUUAACGCGAUAAGUAGACCGCCUGGGGAGUACGGCCGCAAGGUUAAAACUCAAAUGAAUUGACGGGG